rnacentral:rRNA from 1 species
UACGUAGGGGGCAAGCGUUGUCCGGAUUUAUUGGGCGUAAAGAGCGUGUAGGCGGCCAUACAGGUCAGCUGUGAAAACUCGAGGCUCAACCUCGAGACGUCGGUUGAAACCGUUUGGCUAGAGUCCGGAAGAGGAGAGUGGAAUUCCCGGUGUAGCGGUGAAAUGCGCAGAUAUCGGGAGGAACACCAGUGGCGAAGGCGGCUGCCUGGGCUUUGCUGACGGCUGAUGCGCGAAAGCGUGG